rnacentral:rRNA from 1 species
CAGCCGCCGCGGUAAUACAGAGGGUGCGAGCGUUAAUCGGAUUUACUGGGCGUAAAGCGUGCGUAGGCGGCUUUUUAAGUCGGAUGUGAAAUCCCUGAGCUUAACUUAGGAAUUGCAUUCGAUACUGGGAAGCUAGAGUAUGGGAGAGGAUGGUAGAAUUCCAGGUGUAGCGGUGGAAUGCGUAGAGAUCUGGAGGAAUACCGAUGGCGAAGGCAGCCAUCUGGCCUAAUACUGACGCUGAGGUACGAAAGCAUGGGGAGCAAACAGGAUUAGAGACCCCUGUAGUCCCUGUUUCUUAUAC